UUUCCGUAGGUGAACCUGCGGAAGAAUCAUUACCGAAAAACCGAGGUGCGAGGGCUGCCGCUGACCUUUUCGGUCGUGCCCGCCCGCGCGCUCUCACACAAUCCAUCUCGCCCCUUGGGCACCACCGCGUGGGUCCCUUUCUGGCUCGUCCGGAGGGGGGCGCGCGUUUUCGCGCAAACUUGAAGAAGUGUAGAAUGUCCUUUCUGUGCGAUAACACGCAAUCAAUACAACUUUCAACAACGGAUCUCUUGGCUCUG
rnacentral:misc_RNA from 1 species